rnacentral:sRNA from 1 species
UAACUGGAUGCAGUGGUACGGUGAAUGA